GGGCCUUACCCCGCCAGGCGCCGGAGUCCACGCUCCACCGCCGCUGAGGGGCGUUCGGGCGCCACCGAGCAGCCCAAAUUGAAACCCCGAGAGGCUCGGGACUAAAGCUGAAGGGGCAGGUAGAGGGGCCGCCCGGCGGUCCCAGACCAUCCUAGCAAAUCUGGGGCGAGGGAAGGGUUGUCAGUUGGCCGAUUGGGAGCGGCUUCGGGAGCGAAGGAGCUGCUUUUCGGCGAGGCCCCUCGGGAGUGAAGGUUCCUCGAAUCAAGCGUAAACUGGGGCCCCCUCUGGGAUGGUGUAAACUUAUUCAGCUUCAAAUGCAGCCCAGUAUCCUGCCCUAAGUUCCAGAGGACCAUUUUCCACAUGAAAAGUCUUACGGAUAGACAAACUUCCAUUCAAGCCAAUGUCAAGUUUUCAUUGCAAGAAAGUAGCAGCCGUGUUUAAGGGCUUGUUUCUGGCUAUGUUAAAGGACCAUCCUCUGAGGAAAGCAGAGGAGAGGAACUCCAUUAUCCUUACAGUGAAACGCAACCACUGCAGAAAAACUCCACUGAGUUCGCUCCAAAUGCUCAUCUUCUUCUUCGGCCCUGGAUGUCAGACAAACAGGACAAACAGGAAACAAAAUUAUUUUUCUUCGUGGAGGGCAGAGCAGCACUCCCCCGUCGCCCAGUAUUUGGAUCCCCAGCGGGAAUGGGGAGCACCAGGCCAGUGGGAGGCUGCCCCGGCCCUCCCGCGACCUCUGGAUUGAACUUUCCGCACACUUCUCGGCCCCUCGGCAGGUGGCCCAGCCUCGACCCGACCCCACUGCCCACUCACUGCUUCUCCUGCGCGUCCAGGUCCCUGACGAGCGCAUCGCGCUUGUUCACCAGGGCCACCAGCUCAUCUAGCAGAAGCUGUUCGCGUCGCUUCUGGGCCUCGGUCUUCUGCCAGUCUGCAGAAGACGGGAGGCUAGUUACCCACCGGCAGGGCCUCCGAACACCCGGCCCCCCGCCCUCCCCUUCCCGCCUUUUCCAGUUUCCUUAUAUUUCUCAGCAAACCACAUUAUAGAGCCACUAGCUAGUGUUUUCUGGGGAGUUUGGCUGUUGUGGUGAAGGCUUCCUCGCUAAAAGUCUACUUCCUAAACAGGUCCUGUGAAUGGAGAUGGCUGCAGCAGUGUUGGAACCUGCUUAGAACCAGGUGUGAACUGGUGGCUAGCCUGAGGUGCGCACCUGAAUCCAGCCAAAGUGGGGGAGGGGAGCUAGAGGCCCAGAAGAGGUUGGCCCAGGGGUUGGUAGUGGGGGAAGUGGGUAAAUGAGGAGGCGGGAAACAGUGAUGGGCGAUAAAAUCAUUCUGAAAAGGCUAGAGAAUCUGCCUGAGAACCUAUCCUCCUCCCCCACCCCCACUCUCACCCCAAACAGCCCAUUCUUCGCUAAUUUCCUCUUCGCUCUAUUUUAGCAGUUGGAUGUAUCUCACACUGGGCGCCAUAUGCUUCACAAUAACUUUAAAAGUAGUGAAUCGGCUAAUUAGCAUUUUUCUUUGAAGUAAAAAAUAAAUUUGCUCUGCAAUAUUACACUGCAGCUCUCGAUCGCAUCACAGCCAGUUUUCUUUUGGAGACGUUUGCUGGGUGGUUUCAAAUCAAAGCACUUUUGCAAAGGAAAAAUUACAUAUUUCUUUCUGAAACCCUAUGUUAAAGGUUGGAAAACCCGAUGGGCAGUGCUCUUUCCAUGGAUGGGGGGCGUUUUUUUUUUUUUUUUUUGAAGGUUUUAGACCCCAAUAAUAUAUUUCCUAAUCUUUGCUGGUCUGAUGAUUUCCUUAAGAUGAGCAGCAGUUUCAUUUAAUAGAAACAGGACCAAAUCGAACAUUUAAAACACUUUUGAAACCAAAGCCAACUGCUCUCUGGCCAGACUGUAAGGGCUUGUAGCUGUCAAUCAACCCCCAGUCUACCCCGCCUCCCUCAUUAGGAAGGUAAACAAUGAAAAGAAGAAGUAGAUGAUGAGGCAGAUAGCAGAACAAAUGAGGACCUAGAGGGAAACAGGACACCAGCUUAAAAAAAAAAAAAAAAAAAAAAAAAAAAAAAAAAAAAAAAAAAAAAAAAA
ensembl:lncRNA EHBP1-AS1 EHBP1 antisense RNA 1